rnacentral:sRNA from 1 species
CUUCUAGCAAGGAAGAAAAUUUAGAAGAGGAAAGAAGACUUUUUUAUGUUGGAAUAACAAGAGCUAUAGAGAACCUUUAUUUAUUUGCACCUAGAAA